GUCAGUACAAGUACUGGUUUUCAGCCCUGGACAACGUGAUUUUGAUUCAAUAUUGAUUUCGGUCAUAAAGAUCCAUAAGCACGCAAUUUAAUGUAUACGGAAUAUAUCAGUUGCGCAUGCUGAUGUGGAAAUUUGUAGAGUGAACCGAAAUCGGAAAAUACAUAUUGCAAUCUGGAAAUUGGUCUCUUCAGCUAAAAACGAACAAGCAAUGCAUCCGGUCGAGCAAUUCUACCGCAUCAAUUAUGGCGCUUCUCUCCUUGUAUUUGGGCUUUGGAGCUUUUUCGCAAUGGGAAGAGAUAAAUUGGCAGCACGUGGGCGCCGAUGGCGAACUUCAGAAUCUUACUUGCAUCUCCUAGAAUUUCUCGGAGGCUGGAUCGGAAGUUUGUGUGCUCAAAUAUUGUUUUGCCACAAGAUAAGGAAGACAAGUUACCAGUUUGUGUAUUGGAUCAUUGUUAUCUUUCAUGUUAUAUUUAUGACGAAAGAGUUAUUUUAUUGUGUCGGGAGCGUUUGGAAAAGUGGGGAAUCCAUCAGAAAUUGAGAAAUUGUGUACGGUUGACGGUGGCGGGCUUGAAAUGCACAUUGUGCAAAAUCUACGUACACGUACACAUAUACUACGCCGUACGUAACCGCCUCAAUGUUAUAUAUAUAUAUAUAUCGCUCCAAUCGUUUUGUUCGUAUGUCUGUCCGUCCGUCAGCAGCAGUGUUCCGAACGAUACGAUAUACCAACAUUUCAUAUCGUAUCGUAUCGUAUCGUAUCGAAUCGGUGGUUUGAAAACUUUUCGAUACGAUAAAGCGUCUCGUUUCGUAUCGUAUCGAAUCGAUACGAUAUCGACUCCAUAUCGUAUCGUAUCGAAAAUCGUCGAUAAGAUACGAUAUAUAUCGAUUUUUAAAAGUCGAAUGCUAAAAGUUGAUAUAUUAAGAUGAAAUUUUUUA